rnacentral:rRNA from 1 species
AGCUCCAAUAGCGUAUAUUAAAGUUGCUGCAGUUAAAAAGCUCGUAGUUGCAUUUCCGAGGCAAGGGAUUAGUCCGACCUUUGGUGGGUAUUUAAUCCUCUUGCCUCGUCCUUGAGUGGUGCUUCUUGGUAUUAAGUUAUCGAGGAGAUAGCCGCUCAUCGUUUACUGUGAGAAAAUUAGAGUGUUCAAAGCAGGCUUAUGCCGUUGAAUAUAUUAGCAUGGAAUAAUAAGAUAGGACCUCGGUACUAUUUGGUUGGUUUGAGAACCAAGGUAAUGAUGAAUAGGGACAGUUGGGGGUAUUCGUAUUCAGUUGUCAGAGGUGAAAUUCUUAGAUUUACGGAAGACGAACUACUGCGAAAGCAUUUGCCAAGGAUGUUUUCA